rnacentral:rRNA from 1 species
AGCGCUGAAGGUUGGUACUUGUACCGACUGGAUGAGCAGCGAACGGGUGAGUAACGCGUGGGGAAUCUGCCUUUGAGCGGGGGACAACAUUUGGAAACGAAUGCUAAUACCGCAUAAAAACUUUAAACACAAGUUUUAAGUUUGAAAGAUGCAAUUGCAUCACUCAAAGAUGAUCCCGCGUUGUAUUAGCUAGUUGGUGAGGUAAAGGCUCACCAAGGCGAUGAUACAUAGCCGACCUGAGAGGGUGAUCGGCCACAUUGGGACUGAGACACGGCCCAAACUCCUACGGGAGGCAGCAGUAGGGAAUCUUCGGCAAUGGACGAAAGUCUGACCGAGCAACGCCGCGUGAGUGAAGAAGGUUUUCGGAUCGUAAAACUCUGUUGGUAGAGAAGAACGUUGGUGAGAGUGGAAAGCUCAUCAAGUGACGGUAACUACCCAGAAAGGGACGGCUAACUACGUGCCAGCAGCCGCGGUAAUACGUAGGUCCCGAGCGUUGUCCGGAUUUAUUGGGCGUAAAGCGAGCGCAGGUGGUUUAUUAAGUCUGGUGUAAAAGGCAGUGGCUCAACCAUUGUAUGCAUUGGAAACUGGUAGACUUGAGUGCAGGAGAGGAGAGUGGAAUUCCAUGUGUAGCGGUGAAAUGCGUAGAUAUAUGGAGGAACACCGGUGGCGGAAGCGGCUCUCUGGCCUGUAACUGACACUGAGGCUCGAAAGCGUGGGGAGCAAACAGGAUU